GUAUGCUGAGGGGGUGAAGAGCACUUGGCAGGGAUGCCUGCAGCAAAUGGAGUAACAGGCACAUGAAUUGUUCCCUGCAUCUGCCUUGGGGGAGCUAAGGGAAGCUGAUGGUCUGAGCAGGACAACAACCCACAGCUUGACCUGGAUGCUUAUGACAUGGCCAGCUAUGCCCUGCAACUUUGCACCCCAGAGCCUUGCUGCUGGUCCAGUGGGCUGAGGAACCUGCCUGAGCUACAUUUAUUUGGCAGUAUGCAGUCUGGUGUGGGCGGAAAAAGUCCUCAGCCCCUCCAUAAUAGGUGCCUCUGCUCAGCCAUGACAGGCCAUAGGCAGCCCUUCAUGUGUACAAUAUGCUUCCCUGGACAUACAGAGCAGCUUGGCUGGGCAGCCUUCUGGCUCAGCCCCCUGUCUCCACAGUGCACACAGAGACCAAAGGAGAAAUCCAACUGGCUGGACUGUUUGUUAACUCUGGGACAAGAAAAUCAAGGAAGUCAGUAGUCUUCUUGUCAGGAGCUUGGGUUUGGGAGUGCACUGAUGUGAACAAUGUAGAGUGCUUCUGGUGGCCUCAUCCUCAUUGUCACUGCCAGUCUGAUGAAGAUGACGUAUAGGCUGGAAUUGGGUGGCGGGGGAAGAGGUUGGCUACAUGUCUUGACCUGUGCCGCUUUCUGCUCCAGAGCUCUGCCGCUGCACAGGCAGGCCCCCUGGCCAAACCAAGAAAUCCGAAGGAAGGUGUGAAUGCAGGAGCUUGCUACCCAUGGCCACAGGGUCCAUGUCUGGAGUUACAAAAAAGCUUGCCUGCCUGGUUUGCUCCCACCAUUUCUUUGUAUCAAAUGGAAGCAGUGGUCUGGGCUGCACUGACCCAUAGUAAUAGGAUUGGACACUGUUGACAGCAACUAGGAGUCUUGAAUCUUGAGUACUGAAAGCAGGCAACACAACCAUGGUGCUAUGCAGGAGGUGCUCCUAAAGGCCUGCUGAUGUCCCCCCCUUUGUGCAUGUGCAGCCUUGCAGGGCCCAGAGCCUCUAAACUUCCAAGCUGCCAGGCUCUCUCACUCAGCUUCCUUGUGCAUUAUGGAGCCAGGCAUCUGUGCCUCGCCUGUCAAAAUACUAAAAAAGAAAAAAGGAAGAUGCCCGUUCACUCAAGGGUGUGUGGGUAAGAAGAAGCAAAGAUCUUGAACCCUGCUCCUUGGGUUUAGGAGACUAGAAAGUUAAUCAGCAGGCUACAGGAGUAAGUUUUUUCACUACUCUCAGGAUGCCCCCCCUGUUGGUGAAUGAGUAGUCUUGCAGGGCAAAGUGGCCAGAUCCUGGACACUGCUCCAUGCCCUAACCACAGUUUGUCAAUCCCCAUCCUCAUCCAUGCUCAGAAAGAAGUACAGGCUGAAACCAGAGGGUCGUUCAGACAUAUCAAUCCUUCUGCUUUUUGCCCUGGAGCCCUGCCACUGCUCAGGUGGUCUCAGGGAUCCAUCAGAGCUCUGCUAGUUUCAGCAGUCAUGGAAGUAAAGCCUGAACUCCCUCCCUGUUGAGGUGGCUCCGAAGCCACUGAGCUAUGCUUGUGUAGGCACCAGGAGAAAUUUUUACCAAAUAAGAGAAAGCCACAGA